GGAUGUGAGGGUGAUCUACCUGUGACAUCUAUCAUGCCACUGACUGCUAGGUUUCGAUCAGCUGAUUUGGCUGACAAGGUGGGGGUCCCCUUCUUCCUCCCUUUCCCCACGUGCACUGUUCCCGCAGCUGCGUGCUCGGUGGAGGAGGAGUGAGUAGAACAGGAAGAGAGGAGGACUGGUCCGCUCAAGGGUGAGGGAGUAGUAGCUCCCCUGUUAGAACACCCCAAAAUGCUCUCUCAGGAGAACAGGUAUUUAAAUCCUAAACCAAUAUGUUUGCCAUGAAGUGACAGACACAA
rnacentral:snRNA from 1 species